rnacentral:rRNA from 1 species
AGCAGCCGCGGUAAUUCCAGCUCCAAUAGCGUAUAUUAAAGUUGUUGCAGUUAAAAAGCUCGUAGUUGAAUUUCGGGAUCAAUACGUCGGUCGUGCCUCCGGUAUGUACUGGUGUUAUUGAUUUCUCCCUUCUGAUGAACCAUGAUGUCAUUAAUUUGAUGUUGUGGGGAGUCAGGACUGUUACUUUGAAAAAAUUAGAGUGUUUAAAGCAGGCUCACGCUUGAAUACAUUAGCAUGGAAUAAUGAAAUAGGACGUUCGAUCCUAUUUUGUUGGUUUCUAGGAUCAACGUAAUGAUUAAUAGGGAUAGUUGGGGGCAUUAGUAUUCAAUUGUCAGAGGUGAAAUUCUUGGAUUUAUUGAAGACUAACUACUGCGAAAGCAUUUGCCAAGGAUGUUUUCAUUAAUCAAGAACGAAAGUUAGGGGAUCGAAGACGAUCAGAUACCGUCGUAGUCUUAACCAUAAACUAUGCCGACUAGGGAUCGGAUGAUGUAAUUUUUAAUGACUCAUUCGGCGUCCG